CCCCUUGUAGCUCAAUGGAUAGAGCAGUGCCGUCCUAAGGCAUUGAUGUGGGUUCGAUUCCUGCCAAGGGGA
rnacentral:tRNA from 1 species